rnacentral:misc_RNA from 1 species
GUAUAUACUUUUUAUCCUCAACCACCAAAUCAUCAAUGGCAUUGUACAUUGUAUCAGGCAAAUACUUAUCGAGCAAAAGAGAGCAAUCUCUCAAUAUAGUUGUGAUCGUUUGUUUGAAGAAGCAGAAGGAAGGGAAGGAAAGAAAGAAAGAAAGUGAACAGACAGAAAAGCCCGCUCACCCCCCCCCCACACUCACUUCCCCCCUCCUCCUGCAACUUGGGUAAAAAGUUUUUUCCAAUAAUGAUCCCUCCGCAGGUUCACCUACGGAGA